rnacentral:rRNA from 1 species
UAAUACGGAGGGUGCAAGCGUUACUCGGAAUCACUGGGCGUAAAGCGCGCGCAGGCGGUCUUUUAAGUUGGAUGUGAAAGCCUACGGCUCAACCGUAGAACUGCAUCCAAAACUAUUAGACUAGAGUGUGGGAGAGGAAGAUGGAAUUAGUUGUGUAGGGGUAAAAUCCGUAGAGAUAACUAGGAAUACCAAAAGCGAAGGCAAUCUUCUGGAACACUACUGACGCUGAGGCGCGAAAGCGUGGGGAGCAAACAGGAUUAGAUACCCUGGUAGUCCACGCAGUAAACGAUGAAUGUUAGUCGUCGGGGGCCUAGUGUCUUCGGUGAUGCAGCUAACGCAUUAAACAUUCCGCCUGGGGAGUACGGUCGCAAGAUUA